rnacentral:rRNA from 1 species
AAUGAACGCUGGCGGCAGGCCUGACACAUGCAAGUCGAACGGAUCCUUCGGGAUUAGUGGCGGACGGGUGAGUAACGCGUGGGAACAUACCCUUUGGUACGGAAUAGCCUCGGGAAACUGGGAGUAAUACCGUAUGUGGUCGAGAGACGAAAGAUUUAUCGCCAAAGGAUUGGCCCGCGUUGGAUAGGUAGUUGGUGGGGUAAUGGCCUACCAAGCCGACGAUCCAUAGCUGGUUUGAGAGGAUGAUCAGCCACACUGGGACUGAGACACGGCCCAGACUCCUACGGGAGGCAGCAGUGGGGAAUCUUAGACAAUGGGGGAAACCCUGAUCUAGCCAUGCCGCGUGAUCGAUGAAGGCCUUAGGGUUGUAAAGAUCUUUCAGGUGGGAAGAUAAUGACUGUACCACCAGAAGAAGCCCCGGCUAACUCCGUGCCAGCCGCCGCAGUAA